CCUACGGGUGGCAGCAGUAGGGAAUCUUUCACAAUGGGCGAGAGCCUGAUGGAGCAACGCCGCGUGCAGGAUGAAGGCCUUCGGGGUGUAAACUGCUUUUAUAAGCGGGAAAUAUGAUGGUAACUUAUGGAUAAGGAUCGGCUAACUACGUGCCAGCAGCCGCGGUCAUACGUAGGAUACGAGCAUUAUCCGGAGUGACUGGGUGUAAAGAGUUGCGUUGGUGGCAUAAUAAGUAGCUAGUGAAAUCUGGUGGCUCAACCAUUCAGACUAUUAGCUAAACUGUUAAGCUCGAGACCGUUAGGGGUAACUGGAAUUUCUAGUGUAGGAGUGAAAUCCGUAGAUAUUAGAAGGAACACCAAUAGCGUAGGCAGGUUACUGGGACGGUUCUGACACUAAGGCACGAAAGCGUAGGGAGCAAACAGGAUUAGAUACCCGAGUAGUC
rnacentral:rRNA from 1 species